UGUUUCAGCACCAUUUGUUGAAAAGACUAUCUUUUCUCCAUUGCAUUGCUUUUGCUCUGUUAUCAAAAAUCAGUUGCCUAUAUUUAUGUGGGUCAAUUUCUGGACUCUCUAUUCUGUUCCAUUGAUCUAUUUGUCUCUUGCCAAUACCACACUGUCUUGACUAGUGUCACUUUAUUUUUUAAAUUUUUUUUAAUAUUUAUUUAUUUUUGAGAGAGAGACAGAUUGCGAGCAGGGAGGAACAGAGAGGGGGGAGACACAGAAUCUGAAGCAGUUUCCAAGCUGCUUCAGCACAGAGCUCGAACUCACCAACUGUGAAAUCAUGACCUGAGCUGAAGUCAGACACUUAAUCGACUGAGCCACCUGGGAGCCUCAACUACUGUCACUUUACGUUCCGAUGAUCCCCACUGGCUCACACAAGACCUGAUCCUCAUUUGACCUGUCUCUCUGGGGAGCUUUUCUCUGGGAAGACGUUUCUUUCACUUCAAAGAGACUUCAAAGACAGAGAGAGGGAAAAGAGCAGCUGGGGUCCUCAAAACCUGCCCUCUUCCUUGGCUGUGUACUGCUUUCAACAAUGGCUUCCUAAGAAUCUAUAAACAUAAAGAGAUGGAGAGUUAGUAAGGCACUAGUAGGACUGGUGUGAGACAGAAUUGGGAUCCAACCCAGAUCUGCCUGAUGGAGACAGAAGAAAGUGGUUGCCGGUUGCCUUAUGGAUCAACGGCAGAGCAAAGAUAAUGAAAGGAGAGGUCUCUUUGGAGAAGCCUGUGUCAAGCCUGUUGGGAUGCAAAAGAAGGAUGAUACAAUGCAGGCCAAGGGGAGUUCAAUUAUUGUCUUGAUAUUCAUUUCAUAUCUUUGAUGCUUUGAUAAUGAGAUUCUCCAGAAUUAGUAGAAUAUGGUAAGACUGGCUCAGCCAUGGUAAAAAUAUCAAUUAUAAUAAAUCUUAAGAUGAGAGAACAAGAUCUAACAGAAUCUCUCAUGAUCCUAUAAAAAAAAUACUACUCUGGCCGGAAGGAGUCAUCCGCAGUCAGUCACUGCUACAGCCAGGGCCCAUCUAAGAGAUAACCUCAAGCUGUGAGUCCUGAAGCACCCUAGGGCAUUUGGUUGAAGGUGGGAGAGAGUGCCAAAGCCAGGAAACAAGGACACUGAGCCACUGUGGACCAGGUCUAGGCAGGGGUAUCUGCCUGGUGACACUGCAUGCUUGGCCAGUUCCAGUCUCUGGAAAGAGAUUUACAGAGCAAGAGGCCGGGAGCUUGGAAGAAGGAGAGCUGAGACUUGAGCCCUUGUGCAGCCUUCACGAUUGCCCCAUUGCCCCAUUGUAAGUGCGGUAUUGCUCGUCACAGACACCUUCGUGUUGAAGAGCUCGUGUUCUGCAGUCAGAGCUGCUUUGGAUUCCCACCACUGUCAUUUACUCACCAAGUAAUUUUGAGCAAAUUGACCCCCGGCACUUCAGCUCUUUCAUUUCUGUAUAAAGGUGGGACUACGCUAUCUAUCAGAUUAGCUACUUGAUAUUUGCCCUACAGCUAAUAGUACAUACAGUGUACUGGCACAUUGCCCGAAUUAAUAAAUGGUAACUGCUACUAGCUGAUAGUAAGUCAUGGAAAAAAAGGAAAGAAACUAACUGCUUAACAAUAGAAGUUCGCUUAAAAAAUGCCGACCAUUUUGUAUAAAAUCACUAAAUUGUAUUCAUGGUAGGAUCUCAUUUUUGUAAAAGAAAAGGAAGAGGAGGGUUGGAAUAAAAUGAGACACAGUGUGAGGAUGAAUUAUCGAUCGUCCUGUUUGUGAGUAAUAUGAGUAGUAUGUGUUACUUUUGCAAUAAAAAAAUAAGUUAAACAUUUUAUUAGAGGGGUUGUACUGAGAGAGUGAAAAUGUAGUUCUAAGGAAUAUUUUUAGGUUUAUGUUUCUCAUUAUUCUGUAAUCUCAAAUUCAAAAUGCUCCAAGGUUUACAAAAGAACAUUUUGAGUUCAUUUAGUGUUAUAACUACAGUACAAUAUUAUACCUGGUGAAUUCCAAAGAGAUACAUUUAUGACUCCAUUUGUAUUAGCCCCAAUUUUCUCUAUUUAAACACAACUGUUUUUAUUUGUUCUGUUCCAUUUCAUUUCGUGUCCAUUCGUAAACAUAUACCACAUAUUGUAAUCAUAGAGAAUGUCGAGAUUUCAUAUGCCUCUUUCUUCACUUAACGUUUUUCAUAUUGCCCCAUUGUCUCCAGAUUUAUGACUUUCAUGUCAGCUAAGUAAUAUUCUAUCGAGCACCAUGAUCUUAUUUGUCAAUUUCUCUAAGGUUUAACAUUUCAGAUCCUCCCACAUUUUUACAAGCAUAACCCAAUCCCACUGCCAUAAACUUUUCUGCAAAUGUAAUUUUUUUCUUCUUGUGAACUCUUUCCGUAGGGUGAAGUUUUCAGAGGUAGGGCAAUAUUUUCUAGUUCUUAAAAUUUACUGUCAGAUCGCAUUUCAAAACCACUCUACGGAUUUACAAUGCCACUCUCCUGACAACUUGCACAGCUGUGUGAUCUUUUGGCCCAAUCUCACUAUUAUCAUUUAUUAUCAUUUUAAUUUGCAUUUCACUGAUUACUAGCAGGUUUAAGCACUUUCAUUGUUAGGUUUACUUUUUAUGUUUCUACUGGUAGCUCUGAUGCUUGUAAAUAAAUGCAACUUUUUGAGGUGUGA